CUUCACCGAGCCCAGCCACAACGGCGAGUCCUCACCCCGCCCCUGACCGUAGGUCGCCAACAACGCCUGCGCCUC
rfam:Actinobacteria bacterium OK074 ctg19, whole genome shotgun sequence.